rnacentral:tRNA from 2 species
GGGCCCGUGGCCAAGUGGAUACGGCGACAGGCUUCGGACCUGUAGAUCCGGGGUUCAAAUCCCUGCGGGCCCGCCA